UCUUUCAUUAAUGUAUUUUUUUUCCAAAGAUCGUUUACAACUUGUGUUUGACCUGUUUCAAGUUGUAAUAUUAGUGUUAUUAUUCAUUCGUUAUUGUUUACACAAACUAACCAAUCUAUAAUAAAACAUUAUGCAAUGCAAACAUACAAUACAAAUACUAAGGAAAAAGAUCAAUUAUUAAAGCAAACAAUUAUUGUGGUAAAUAACUCUGGAUAUUUUGAUUGGUUGCAAACACUUGUGUGAACUAUUAUUUUACAACAAUUAAUCAUUCUUUUUUUGGGUAAUACUAAAAUACAAAAUAUCAGCUCCAUGACUCAGAGUAAAAUCGAAUGGACAACAGACAGGAAAUAAACAUUGGUACGUGACAAGUCUUUCUUUAAUAAAGAUUAAUAAAAAAUUUCUUUAGGCCUAGUCUUUCAAACACAAAUAUUCUCCAUGCAUGUAAUGGCCCAUUAUUCAAAGACAGCCUCAAAUUAUUUUUUUUCCAACUGGCAAACUGUAUCAAAAGCCCAACUCUCAAAAGCCAAUGUAUUACAUCUUCCCCAAACUUGCUAAGUUUAUGUUUUUUAAUCCCAAAAAAGUGGUAUUGUUUUGUUGACUGCCUUUAAAAAAAACUUGCCAAUCUUGCAAUUGUUAUUAAUGUGGUUGUUAAUGUCAUGUAUGUGUAUGUCUUGAUUCUGUCUUUGUUGCCAUGCUGGUUGUUUCUUUGACAGAGUUGGCUGUUGGCUGCUGCCUGCGCAGAUAAUGAAAGCCUAACAACUUGGAACCUGUCUAGAAAUUCACUGCAGGCUGUCCGUGUGACUGUAAAUGUUUUGUUUUUUAGAAACUAAAAACUUCACUCCAACUACGGUUGUUCAUCCAUGUGAAUGUAACUAUCAUCAAUGGGUUAGUGUUAUAAGUUAAUCCCAUAUCUACUAACUUUGAACCUUAGUUUGUUUCAUCAAGCGAAACUUGCCCCGUGCACUGAGAUCUCUCUGUUGUGUUUUUACCUGAUCCAAUCUUCGGACAUUUGCAGGUAAAAUAAUUUGUUAUAAGUUUUAAAUUGUUCCAAAGCUGAUUUUGUGUCAUUCAUUAAAUUUAACCAAAGUUUAAUGAAUUGUUCUCCCCUGGAAUCCUUUUUAAAUUGAUUUUGUUUUUAAGUGAGUCAGAACACUCAAGUGGAACACUUUCUUUUCUAGGCUGUAGAGAUUGCACGGAAACUGUCUAAUGAGGACAGUAGUGGUGAACACGACGUCUAGAGUCCCCAUCAAGACAACUGCCUCAAACCAUCAUGAGAACACUGGUUGGAUGUUCGUACUGCCCUCAAAGUAAUUUGUUGCCAUGCUGGCUGUCCUUAGACAGGGUUGGCUGCUGCUAGAAAGCGUAGAUGGUGAAAGCAUGCCAACAGAAGGACAUCGGUGAAGGUUCUACAAGAUAGAUUGCUGUGACAUCAUUGAGAUUAUUCACUGAUUGAAGAGCCAACUCAGUGUCCCAAGCAAUACCCCAGUCGCCCCUCGGACUUAUAGUCUUCUAUACCUGAGGUCAAUCUGAUAGGGAACCUAGUCUCUUCAUCACCAGUCUCCCCCCCCCCAGACUUAGGGUCUUCUUUACCCGAAGUAAAUUCGUUUAUCACCAUAGUCUUCUCACCACGCCCUUCCUGCUCCAACACCAUCUUUAGCUACCACUUUCUCGAAUGACCAAGAGUUUGAGUCGAGCAGUCACCAGACAGACAGGCAGACAGACAGACAGACAGAGGUUGCUGUUUGAAACAUUGAGCCCACCAGUUCUUCUCAGAACCCAAAUUCACUCAACAGAGAUCUACCUAAAUCAUUUUGUUGCCAAACUGCAGAAGAUCAAGGAGGCUCGUGAAGAGAUGGCAGAGAUUGAACGGAAACUGUCUAAUGAGGACACCAGUGAUGAAUGCGAUGUCUAGAGUCCUCGUUAAUACGCCUUGACAUCAUCACGACAACACUGGCUGUACGCUCUGUACUGCCCUCAAAGAAAUCGUUGCCAUGCUGGCUGUCCCUAGAUAGGGUUGGCUGAUGCUAGCACAGAUGAUGUAAGCAUGCCAACUAAAGAACAUCUACAAGACAGAUUGCCAGGACAUCUUUGAGGUAUAUGCACAUUUUAUGAACCUUGUGAUUUCAUGAAACUUUGAUUGAACUUGUAUUAUUCCUCAUACACAACUGUGCCAUCUCUGAUAAGCAGAGAACCCAAUGGUGUGCGAUAUCUUGAAAUAAUCAACGUUUUGUCCAGCCUUUCAAAAACUUACCAACCAAAUGCUUUUGGUACUCUGACAUUUGUAUUUCCUUUGAUAUUGUGGUGCCUUUGAUAUUUCAUUAAAAACUCAUAUGUUCAGUUUUGUGGCAUAUUUUGAAACCAUAACUAGCUCAUGUUGAAUUGCUCGAGUCAUUUUCAAAGCAACCUUGUACAAUCUCUCGAUACCAUUUCAUGUUGACAUUUUAAGGCUGUAAUUAUUGUUUAAUGACAGCGAUACAGUGUCUUGCUGAAUCACUUUUGAUGAAAUGAUUUCUGUUGUGUGUCUUUUAGUUAUCUUCAGAUUAUUAACCAAAUGAAGAGCCAACUCAUUGUUCCAAGCAAUACACCAGUCCCCCCUCGGACUUGGGGUCUUCUAUACCCAAAGUCAAUUUGAUUAUGCUAUUGUUACUACUCAUUAUACACAUUAGUGUGUUCUUUCUCGAAGUCAAACCAACUUUACAUAGUACUGUGGCAAUAAUUUCUGAGGCCUCGCCCUGACAAAUUUAAGAACCAAAGCUGAUUCUUUAUAAAAAUUUUACAGUUGUAUAGGCUACAGCAAAAAUUAACCUGUGAAAAUUAGCGUUUGGCUUGACUUUGUUUGGAUUGGUCACCCAGUUGAUUAUGACAUUGUCAUGUAUGUUUUGAUUUCGUCUAGGCUGCCAUGCUGGCUGUCCUUAGACAGAGUUAGCUGAUGCUAGCACAGAUGAUGAAAGCAUGCCUUCAAAAGAACAUCGGUGAAGGUUCUACAAGAUAGAUUGCUGUGCCAUCAUUGAGAUCGAUGAGGGUCUUGAAGAGGGUCAGAACACUCCAAGCGGACCACCUUGCUUUCAAGAUGGUAGAGAUUGAACUGAAACGGUCAAAUGAGAACAGCUGCCUCAAACCAUCAGGAGAAGACUGGUUGGAUGCUUCAGACUACCCGAAAAGGAAUUCAUUAAGUUGCCAUGCUAAACAGGGUUGGCUGCUGCUAGCACAGACGAUGAAAGCAUGCCAACAAAAGAACACAUCGGUGAAGGUUCUACAAGAUAGAUUGUCCUGACAUUGUGAGGUUGCCACGCACGACGUCCUUAAACAGGGUUGCCUGCUGCUAGCAGUGAUGAUGGUGAAGGGUCUACAACAUUGAUUACCGUGACUCCAUUGAAGAUGAGCUGCUCGGAUGUCUUGAUGAUACUGAUGUUUGCCCAAGGCAGUUGAUCUCCAGGAACUACUGGCCCUGAAAGGUCAAGUUAACGGAUAUAAUUAUUAAGUUGUAAGUCAAUAUUUUGUCAUCAAAACUCUUGCAUGGGUAAUUUAGACCACCUCUUUAUAUAAUAAUAACAAUUAUGGUGGCUUCUUAUAGCGCUCAGGUCUGUCACGCAG